CUUGAUUUUAUUUUUUAUUUUUUAACAAAUCGCUCUCAAAAUGCUCUAAAAUCUCGAAGAAAUUGGAGUUUGGCGACCUCAAGUAUGUUCCUUUGUAUUUUUGUUGUGAAUCUUUGAGUUGUUUUUUUCAUUUUCAUUUUUUAUUUUUUUGCAAGAUUCUAACAAAUUAUUCAGAGAGGGAUGGUUGGAAUCAAUUCGAGUAAUUAUUGAGUUGGAGAUGUAAUUUACGAAAAUUCACCACAUAUAACACACUAAUAUUACUUUCAAAAUAAUCUAGCCCCUUAUUGCAUGGGCAAUUGACUCGGAUUGUAGAUAAAUUUAGAUAUUUGAAUAACGAAACUACCGACAUAGAAAGGGAAAAAAAAUAGAAAAAAGAAACAAAAAAGCACAAGGUAAAUUAAGCAAUAACGUGGCAUAACAGAUUACACAUCUUCUUCGUACGUAAUCGCCGUUCGUUUUGUCCAUAAGAACAAGAAAUUCAUCCAGACCACGCAUAAUUCAAUUGCCGUUCCUCCUUUCCCAAGCAAUCCAGAAUCGCUUUUUACCUUAUAAAUUAAAUUCCCAAUCCCCCCCCCCCCCCCGCCCACUGUAUACCCUAAACCCAUUUUCACUCAGCUUAUUUUGAUUUUCCGAUUAAUUUCAAAAGUUCUCAACAUGGGCAUGGUGUUAGGAAAAAUCACCGUCGANUUUUUUUUAUUA
rnacentral:lncRNA from 1 species